CAAGAGCAGAGCAGCAACUAUCGAUCUGCUCGUCUGCAUCCAUCUUCAUUCAAAUCGAACCGAAUGAGAUUCAGUCUCACGCCAGCUGUCCGCGGGGGAAACUGGGAUUAAACCAGCCCCACUAACUACUGGCUAUCAGGGGAUAAUGGAGGAGAGAGGGGAGACACGGUCACACCUGAUGUCGCCUUCAAAACAUCUCGGGCGUGCAUGAGUUCGGAGGAGCGAGGCGCUCCGGAGAGGACACCCGGGAGGAGAGGAGGAGAUUCGGGGACACAUUUCACACAAAUACACGCAUACAACAAUCAGUGUGCUGGUACAAGACCCUUUGGAUUGGAUCAGCUGUCCGGGCUUCGCUGGAGGACAGCUUCUCACCCGUUGGGAGGAAUUAGAUGUUCCAAGUGGGACCUGCUGUCCUUUCCUCGGUGUGCCCAGAUCACGCGUCCAAUCCCAUCCUCGUCGCCAAGUUUUGUGAUGGAAAUUCUUUGUUUAAGAAUAAGAAUUCUCAGAUCGGCCUGUGUUUUGUGAAUUUAUUCAAGCAGGAAAUACAACAGAGAAUAUAACAGAAAAUAACAAAGAAUAAAUCUAAGAAAUGUAAUUA